AAAAGUUUUUUUUAAAGUAAGAGAAGGUCUCACCAAAAAGCCGUUGAACAUAUCUGGGCAAUAAUGUGAGGAUCACAAUGCUUGGUACAUGCUAGCAAUGAAGGAAUCUC